GUUGCGAGAAAACAAUAAAAUACACACUUGAUGUAUAUACUUAUACAUAAAUAUUUAUUUACAAAUAUGCAUUACCUAAUGCAAUUUAAUGACACUCCUCCACAUGGGGAUUCUUUGUCGCCGACAUAAAUAUGUCAACACCGAACCUUCUCAGAUUGAUAACAAAUAAGCAGUCGCGUCUGAAACGUCGUAAUUUACGUAUAAAUAUAACAGCUACAUCGAACAUCGAUCAUUGUAGACUUUAAGCUUGCAACAUGAAGUUCUAUGCACUCUUCGUUUUCGCACUAGCCAUGCUGGCUAUGGCAUUCGCUAUUCCCAAUCAUGAGCUCCGACCAAUUGCUGAGCUAUAUCCUGGUGGCGGUGGCGGUGGAGGUGGAGGAGGCGGCGGCGGUGGUGGCGGAGGUGGUGGUGGUAAAUAAGGCAGUCUGAGAAUGGUUUUGAUUUGACUAAUGUCUAUAAAUUUUUUUCGGAAAUUGCAUUACUUUAAUAAACUUAUAUAAUAAAAUAUAUAAUAUAAUAAAUACAUAUGUACAUACACACAAAAAAUAUAGUCUACAAAUUUUUAUGGAAAAGAGCUUGUUCAGGGGCACACCUGGUUAUAAUUAUACUUGUUACACAGUAAAAUUUUUGGAAAAAAUUAUUUUGGAAAUGGCGGAUGUACACCUGUUUUAAAACCGUUGGGCAAAGAAGAAACACUAUUAAAUGUACCAAAUGACCGACCUUAACAACAACUGGGAUUUAGUUGGAUAUUAGCCUCUAGCUGUCGCAGCUCUUCCAAUUUUUACUUGCUUUCUAUGUUUUCCAAGAGCACAACCGUUAAUUAGGGUUUCUAAAGAAGAAAUUCCGUUUCCUUGAUUAAUUUUGGUACCUUAAGUAUUAAAACAGAUCAUGACGAGUCAA